rnacentral:rRNA from 1 species
AGUCUGGUGCCAGCAGCCGCGGUAAUUCCAGCUCCAAUAGCGUAUAUUAAAGUUGUUGCAGUUAAAAAGCUCGUAGUUGGAUCUCAGGAUUUGGAUGGAUGGUUCGCUUUCGGGCGCUACUAUCUGUCUGACCUACUCUAGUCGUGGAUGCCUUGGGUGCUCUUAAUUGAGUGCUUUUGGUGCCCGACGCAAUUACUUUGAAAAAAUUAGAGUGCUCAAAGCAGGCGUAUUGCCUGAAUAGUGUUGCAUGGAAUAAUGAAAUAGGAGUUUACUUCUAUUUUGUUGGUUUUCGGAGGUGAACUAAUGAUUAACAGGGACAGACGGGGGCAUUUGUAUGGAGGGGUUAGAGGUGAAAUUCUUGGUUCCUCUCCAGACAAACUACUGCGAAAGCAUUUGCCAGGAAUGUUUUCACUAAUCAAGAACGAAAGUCAGAGGUUCGAAGACGAUCAGAUACCGUCCUAGUUCUGACCAUAAAUGAUGCCAUCUAACAAUCCACGAAGUUUGCUUGUACGAACUCGUGGGCGGUCCCCGGGAAACCAAAGAUUUUGGGUUCCGGGGGAAGUAUGGUUGCAAAGCUGAAACUUAAAGGAAUUGACGGAAGGGCACCACCAGGAGUGGAGCCUGCGGCUUAAUUUGACCCAACACGGGAAACCUCACCCGGCCCGGACACUUUUAGGAUUGACAGACUGAAGGCUCUUUCUUGAUCAAGUGGUUGGUGGUGCAUGGCCGUUCUUAGUUGGUGGAGCGAUUUGUCUGGUUAAUUCCGAUAACGAACGAGACUCUACUCUGCUAAAUAGAACGUUGAUAUAUAAAAGUCAGUGCUGACUUCUUAGAGAGACUAACGGCGUUUAGCCGUGUGAGAAAGAGCAAUAACAGGUCUGUGAUGCCCUUAGAUGUCCGGGGCCGCACGCGCGCUACACUGACUGCAGCAACUAGUAUGCUCCUGGUUUGAAAAAACUGGGUAACCUGGUUGAAUUGCAGGCGUGACAGGGAUCAGAGUUUGCAAUUAUCCUCUGUGAACGAGGAAUUCCCAGUAAGCGCAAGUCAUUAGCUUGUGCUGAUUACGUCCCUGCCCUUUGUACACACCGCCCGUCGCUACUACCGAUUGAAUGGUUUAGUGAGGUCUUCGGAUUGGUGCUGGUGGAGUGGUUCUCUGCUCUGUUAGUGCCGAGAAGAUGAUCAAACUUGAUCAUUUAGAGGAAGUAAAAGUCGUAACAAGGU